rfam:Candidatus Glomeribacter gigasporarum BEG34, WGS project CAFB01000000 data, contig: Contig1481-1692
GAGGGUAGGUCCCUCGGUAUCGCCUUGCAGGAGGGGAUACCAAACCACCUUAAGCGGCUGAGGACAAAAUCCUCGGUCGUGAGCGUUAAGGAAAAGGCGCUAUUGAAAGCGUCAGGU